rnacentral:rRNA from 1 species
GGCGCCGCUUACAAUCGGUUGAGCUCGGAUCA